AACGAACGCUGGCGGCAGGCUUAACACAUGCAAGUCGAGCGAAGACUUCGGUCUUAGCGGCGGACGGGUGAGUAACACGUGGGUAACCUGCCCAUAAGACUGGGAUAACAUUCGGAAACGAAUGCUAAUACCGGAUACGCGAAUUGGUCGCAUGGCCGAAUCGGGAAAGGCGGAGCAAUCUGCCACUUAUGGAUGGACCCGCGGCGCAUUAGCUAGUUGGUGGGGUAACGGCUCACCAAGGCGACGAUGCGUAGCCGACCUGAGAGGGUGAUCGGCCACACUGGGACUGAGACACGGCCCAGACUCCUACGGGAGGCAGCAGUAGGGAAUCUUCCGCAAUGGACGAAAGUCUGACGGAGCAACGCCGCGUGAGUGAUGAAGGUUUUCGGAUCGUAAAGCUCUGUUGCCAGGGAAGAACGCUUGCGAGAGUAACUGCUCGCAAGGUGACGGUACCUGAGAAGAAAGCCCCGGCUAACUACGUGCCAGCAGCCGCAGUAACAC
rnacentral:rRNA from 1 species